UACAGAGGGUGCGAGCGUUAAUCGGAAUUACUGGGCGUAAAGCGAGUGUAGGCGGUUCGCUAAGUCGGAUGUGAAAGCCCUGGGCUCAACCCAGGAAGUGCACUCGAAACUGGCGAGCUAGAGUACUGGAGAGGUUGGUGGAAUUCUCGGUGUAGAGGUGAAAUUCGUAGAUAUUCGGAAGAACACCAGUGGCGAAGGCGGCUCACUGGCCCGGUACUGACGCUGAGGUGCGAAAGCGUGGGGAGCAAACAGG
rnacentral:rRNA from 1 species